rnacentral:rRNA from 1 species
CCAACCCUAUGUUUAACUACCCUCUUGCUUCGGCGGGCCCGUCCUAAGGACCGUCGGAAGUCUGGGAAUCAUCGGACUUUCGGCCCGUGCCUGUCAGUAGCCCUGACAAAUUCUUGAUAAAUUGUGAUGUCUUAGUUAUAAACUUAAUAGUUAAAACUUUCAACAACGGAUCUCUUGGUUCUGGCAUCGAUGAAGAACGCAGCGAAAUGCGAUAAGUAAUGCGAAUUGCAGAAUUCAGUGAGUCAUCGAAUCUUUGAACGCACAUUGCGCCCUUUGGUAUUCCGAAGGGCAUGCCUGUUCGAGCGUCAUUAUCAACCCUCAAGCCUAGCUUGUUGUUGGACCUUUCGUCGUCAAAAGACGGGUCUCAAAGCUAAUGGCGGAGUCGUGUUGGACCUCAGAUGCAACGAGCUUUUACUAGCACGCGUCAACGGGACCAUCGGCUCUGGCCUUAACCCACAUAUAACAAGGUUGACCUCGGAUCAGGUAGGAAUACCCGCUGAACUUAA